rnacentral:sRNA from 1 species
AUUGGCAGAUCGGCCCAUAUUCAGGCCAGUGGGCACUUGGAGGAACAGACACCUCGGACGCUGCUGAAGAACAUCCUACUAACUGCCCCAGAAUCUUCCAUCCUGAUGCCUGAGUCGGUAGUGAAGCCAGUGCCAGCACGGCAGGUGGUCCAACCCUCCAGACAAGAGAGCAGUUGCGGCAGCCUGGAGCUGCAACUUCCUGAGCUCGAGCCCCCCACAACCCUGGCUCCAGGUCUGCUGGCCCCUGGCAGGAGGAAACAGAGGCUGAGACUGUCAAUGUUUCAGCAGGGAGUGGACCAGGGGUUGUCUCUCUCCCAAGAGCCUCAAGGGAAUGCUGAUGCCUCUUCCCUCACCAGAUCCCUCAACCUGACCUUUGCCACACCUCUUCAGCCACAGUCAGUGCAGAGGCCUGGCUUGGCCCGCAGACCUCCAGCCCGCCGAGCUGUAGACGUGGGUGCCUUUUUGCGGGAUCUGCGAGAUACUUCCCUGGCUCCUCCAAGCCACUCAGGGCGGACCCAUGCAGCCCACUGUCCAGGCCCUGGCAACGCUGAGUAGCAGCCGGUGGGCCUGGAAUACGCUGAGAGCCAGCUGGCCCCUGAUCUCCAGAUGACAGCCUCAGAACCUGUUACUACUCUGCCCACAGACAUUGUGUUGGAGGACACCCAGCCGUUCUCUCAGCCCAUGGUUGGCUCCCCCCAUGUGUAUCACUCCCUGCCCUGCACGCCUCACACUGGGGCUGAAGACGCUGAGCAGGCUGCCGGUCGCAAGACACAGAGCAGUGGGCCUGGGCUGCAGAA